rnacentral:rRNA from 1 species
GGAGUCUGGGCCGUGUCUCAGUCCCAAUGUGGCCGUCCGCCCUCUCAGGCCGGCUACUGAUCGUUGCUUUGGUAGGCCGUUACCCUGCCAACUGGCUAAUCAGACGCGGGUCCAUCUCUGUCCGAUAAAUCUUUUACCGCAAAGCCAUGCGGCUUCGUGGUCUUAUGCGGUAUUACCAGCCGUUUCCAGCUGCUAUCCCCCGGACAAAGGCAGGUUCCCCACGCGUUACUCACCCGUCCGCCACUAACAACUUUAAGAAUCAUCCGAAGACUCUUCUCAAAGUGUCCGUUCGACUUGCAUGUGUUAGGCACGCCGCCAGCGUUCAUC